GAGUAAUGUCUGGGAAACUGCCUGAUGGAGGGGGAUAACUACUGGAAACGGUAGCUAAUACCGCAUAACGUCGCAAGACCAAAGAGGGGGACCUUCGGGCCUCUUGCCAUCAGAUGUGCCCAGAUGGGAUUAGCUAGUAGGUGGGGUAACGGCUCACCUAGGCGACGAUCCCUAGCUGGUCUGAGAGGAUGACCAGCCACACUGGAACUGAGACACGGUCCAGACUCCUACGGGAGGCAGCAGUGGGGAAUAUUGCACAAUGGGCGCAAGCCUGAUGCAGCCAUGCCGCGUGUAUGAAGAAGGCCUUCGGGUUGUAAAGUACUUUCAGCGAGGAGGAAGGUGUUGAGGUUAAUAACCUCAGCAAUUGACGUUACUCGCAGAAGAAGCACCGGCUAACUCCGUGCCAGCAGCCGCGGUAAUACGGAGGGUGCAAGCGUUAAUCGGAAUUACUGGGCGUAAAGCGCACGCAGGCGGUCUGUCAAGUCGGAUGUGAAAUCCCCGGGCUCAACCUGGGAACUGCAUUCGAAACUGGCAGGCUAGAGUCUUGUAGAGGGGGGUAGAAUUCCAGGUGUAGCGGUGAAAUGCGUAGAGAUCUGGAGGAAUACCGGUGGCGAA
rnacentral:rRNA from 1 species